GCAUCACUUGCCAUCAGGGAAAUACAAAUCAAAACCACAAUGAGAUCCCACCUCACACCAGUGAGAAUGGGGAAAAUUAACAAGGCAGGAAACCACAAAUGUUGCAGAGGAUGUGGAUAAAGGGGAUUAAACAUUUAAUAAGUAGCUCAUGUGGAAUUGAACUUAGGUCUAAUUGACGUAAAUAAGUUAUCCCCCAGUACUUUGCCAAAAUAUAACAACAAAGAAAGGAACAAUAAAAUGAAUAAAGGAUGCACUGAUUUUCUUUAUUUGAGUGAAAACUAGAAAUUACUUGUGUCUUUAAGAGGAUAAUAUGCCCAAUUAACCUUUCCAAAUAUUUAAAUGGACUGUAGUGAACAGUUGCUUGUCAAGGAAUAAUAAGCCCUUCACAAAUCCAGAAUUUUCUAUCAGCUGCUGAAUAAAAUUAUCAAUUGGUCACUGUGUAAGUUGUUAAAUGUUUGUUUACUUGAAUCUAUUUCCUGUCUGAAUUAUUGCCAUGAGUCGGCAUUCUGUCAUUUGCCCAAAUUAUUUCAGUAGAAGAUCUUUGACAUUUUCCUUCCUAUGCCAACAGUGUGCAUAAAAUCUGUGAAAUUAUGAGUGGUGUCUCUGAAUGCUUAGAAAACUGAUUUGUGUGGCUAAUUUAGCCACAUGAAGAAAGGACGAGGAAGUCUGUGCUUUAUGAUUUUAUACAUACCAUUACCCUGCUGCACCUUGGUAUGGCCAAAAAACAUCCCUCCUGUCUUGCCAUCCAAGUAUGAGCAUACCUGGCUGAGGAAAAGAAGACAGUUCAAACCCUAAGCCAGCAUGAUGGUGGCCCUGGCUACAUAUCCUUGGUCCCUCUCAAUACUCCAGUGGUCCAUUUCCAAUAGCCACACGGAGAAGGAGAAUGUAUUCAGCCAUUGUCAGAAACAUCUAUUCAUCUGAAAACCCAUGGAAAUGAGCUCUCCACUAACACUGCCUGAGCCACAGCAUCGGCUGCCUCACUUCUGUCCUCAUCAAAGUUUGAUCCAGGGUAAAUGCAAUGUUUUCGUCACUGGCUCCUAUGUUCAAAUUUAUGUGUCCAUUUUCUCUCUAUAUACCAUCUCACAUGAAACUGUGCUAAGA